ensembl:lncRNA
UGCAGGGGAAGGUGACUCCCCUGCAGGCAAAGAAAAAAUGGGACAAUUUAAAAUAAUAAAUAAAGAUUGCAAGUAUCCAGGGUCAUCCAGGUUAGGUGGGAAACCCACUGCUGCCACUUGGCCCUGGUUUGUCCCCAUGGAUGAGGUAUUGGGACAGAGGCAUUCCACCAACCCCCCCUGUCCUAAUUGCCUCCAUCCCUGAGAACACACCAGGGCCAAGUACAGCAGUGGUGGAUCAGGAGGUGGAGGACAAGGAUCAGGAGGAGGAAAGACAGCGAGGGCCAAGGUCCAGAAAGAGGGACAGGGAGGAAGACAUGUUCCAGAGUCGCUCACUAUCUUCCGAAAAGGACUCAAGACUCACCUGUUCAGAGUCCACCUCGACUCUGCAUAUAGCCACCCUCCCCCUUCUGGCCACCAUUGUACACUGUGUUGUAUUGUAUUGUAUUGUAUUAUAGUACUUAACUGUGUAACAACUGCAGUAGCUGCUAUCAUGGCUGUAACACGGGGAAUUGAUUAGCCUAGCGAUUGUGGUACUUGCACUUGGUUCUAUGAACAUCCUUUCUGUACCGACAGCGAUAUAUUGAUGCACUUCUUAUGACAAAUGUACUUAUUGUAAGUCGCUUUGGAUAAAAGCGUCUGCUAAAUGCCCUAAAUUUAAAUGUAAAAUGUAAAUGUUCCAGUUAAUAAAAGAGGACAUGAGGCUACAAAGGGAGGCAGAGGAGAGAAGAGCCCAGGAGAGAAUUUGAGCGUUUGGUGGACAAAUAACUUAUGUUCUGUUAUAUUUGCUGGAUUGUCUGGUGACAGUGGCAGAGGAGAGAACCACAAAGAAGCUUCUGGCCAUCCUGGAUGACACCAGCCACCCUCUGCACACUGUCAUCAGCAACCAAAGAAGCACCUUCAGCGACAGGCUGCUCCUCCCCAGAUGCCGCACCAACAGACUAAUGAACUCCUUUGUCCAUCGUGCCAUCACACUCCACAACUCCGCACUUGGAGGGAGGAGGGGGGGGCAGCAGGAGGUGUACAGUGGAUAAAGGGAAAUAGAAAUAGGAUAGACUGAUCGAGCUUGCAUAAUCUAUUUAUUUAUUUAUUGCUACACACUCCAUUUAUUUAUUAACAUAAAUAAGAUAUAAUAAUUGCUGCUAACAUCUGCUGCUGCUUCUUUUUAAAAUGUAGUUAUUUAUUUAUACAAUGUCUUGUUGCAUUUUAGCUUUUGUUUUUCUUGCUUGUUUAUGUGUCUUGUCUGUACUACCGCUGCUGGAAUUUUUGAAUUUCCCUGAAGGAGCAUUCCCAAGGGAUCAAUAAAGUUAUCUAUCUAUCUGAACAUCCUGAACAGGAAGAAGAGGGCAUUCAAGGAAGGUGACAGAGACGAGCUGAAGCGCAUACAGGUGGAACUCAAGGUCCAACUGAGAGAGGCGAAGGAGGAAUACAGAAGGAAGGUAGAACAGAAGCUGCAGCAUAACAACAUGAGGGAGGUCUGGGAUGGCAUGAAAACCAUCACAGGCUGCAAGAAGAAGGGCAGCAUCACAGGGAGAGGGGAUGCUGGAAGAG